AAAAAAAGGCUUUGUGUUGUUGAAAAUUCAUGUGUUCAUCGAAAGAACUGCUUUUGAGCCUCUGAGUCUGCAAAACAUUAAUGAGGAAUACUUUUCCAAACGAAGACUGCAUCCAGGCUUCGUAGAUCAGAAG